rnacentral:tRNA from 1 species
GAUUAGCUCAGGUGGUAGAGCACUUGACUUUUAAUCAAGUUGUCGCGGGUUCGAGUCCCGCAUC